rnacentral:rRNA from 1 species
AUUGAACGCUGGCGGCAGGCCUAACACAUGCAAGUCGAGCGGAUGAAGGGAGCUUGCUUCUGGAUUCAGCGGCGGACGGGUGAGUAAUGCCUAGGAAUCUGCCUGGUAGUGGGGGAUAACGUCCGGAAACGGGCGCUAAUACCGCAUACGUCCUGAGGGAGAAAGUGGGGGAUCUUCGGACCUCACGCUAUCAGAUGAGCCUAGGUCGGAUUAGCUAGUUGGUGGGGUAAAGGCCUACCAAGGCGACGAUCCGUAACUGGUCUGAGAGGAUGAUCAGUCACACUGGAACUGAGACACGGUCCAGACUCCUACGGGAGGCAGCAGUGGGGAAUAUUGGACAAUGGGCGGAAGCCUGAUCCAGCCAUGCCGCGUGUGUGAAGAAGGUCUUCGGAUUGUAAAGCACUUUAAGUGGGGAGGAAGGGCAGUAAGUUAAUACCUUGCUGUUUUGACGUUACCAGCAGAAUAAGCACCGGCUAACUACGUG